AGAGUUUGAUCAUGGCUCAGGAUGAACGCUGGCGGCAUGCGUAAUACAUGCAAGUCGAACGCGAGUAGCAAUACUCGAGUGGCGAACGGGUGAGUAAUACAUAGAUAACUUGCCCUCAAGACGAGGAUAACAGUUGGAAACGAUUGCUAAUACUGGAUAGGAUAAUGAGUUGCAUGACUUAUUAUUUAAAGGUGCUUCAAAGCAUCGCUUGGGGAGAGGUCUAUGUCGCAUUAGCUAGUUGGUGAGGUAACGGCCCACCAAGGCGACGAUGCGUAGCUGUGCUGAGAGGCAAAACAGCCACACUGGGACUUAGACACGGCCCAGACUCCUACGGGAGGCAGCAGUAGGGAAUUUUCGGCAAUGGGGGGAACCCUGACCGAGCAAUGCCGCGUGAAUGAUGAAGAUCUUCGGAUUGUAAAGUUCUGUUAUCAGGAAAGAAUAGCAUAACUAGGAAAUGAGUUAUGUAUGACGGUACCUGAUGAGUAAGCCCCGGCUAACUAUGUGCCAGCAGCCGCGGUAAUACAUAGGGGGCAAGCGUUAUCCGGAAUUAUUGGGCGUAAAGAGUGCGUAGGCGGUUUAUUAAGUCUGGUGUGAAAUCCCACAGCUUAACUGUGGAGGGUCAUUGGAAACUGGUAAACUUGAGUACGGUAGAGGUAAGUGGAAUUCCAAGUGGAGCGGUGGAAUGCGUAGAUAUUUGGAGGAACACCAGUGGCGAAGGCGGCUUACUGGGCCGUUACUGACGCUGAGGCACGAAAGCGUGGGGAGCAAACAGGAUUAGAUACCCUGGUAGUCCACGCCGUAAACGUUGAGCACUAAGUGUCGGAUGUAUUUUCGGCGCUGCAGUUAACACAAUAAGUGCUCCGCCUGGGGAGUACGGUCGCAAGACUGAAACUCAAAUGAAUUGACGG
rnacentral:rRNA from 1 species